ensembl:lncRNA
AUGGCUCUCUUUUCCCUCCUCCAUGCUCAACUCUCCAUCCUCCCCCUCUCUCUUUUCCCUCCUCCAUGCUCAACUCUCCAUCCUCCCCCUCUCUCUUUUCCCUCCUCCAUGCUCAACUCUCCUUCCUCCCCCUCUCUCUUUUCCCUCCUCCAUGCUCAACUCUCCAUCCUCCCCCUCUCUCUUUUCCCUCCUCCAUGCUCAACUCUCCAUCCUCCCCCUCUCUCUUUUCCCUCCUCCAUGCUCAACUCUCCAUCCUCCCCCUCUCUCUUUUCCCUCCUCCCCCUCUCUCUUUUCCCUCCUCCAUGCUCAACUCUCCAUCCUCCCCCUCUCUCUUUUCCCUCCUCCAUGCUCAACUCUCCAUCCUCCCCCUCUCUCUUUUCCCUCCUCCAUGCUCAACUCUCCAUCCUCCCCCUCUCUCUUUUCUCUCCUCCCCCUCUCUCUUUUCCCUCCUCCAUGCUCAACUCUCCUUCCUCCCCCUCUCUCUUUUCCCUCCUCCAUGCUCAACUCUCCUUCCUCCCCCUCUCUCUUUUCCCUCCUCCAUGCUCAACUCUCCAUCCUCCCCCUCUCUCUUUUCCAUCCUCCCCCUCUCUCUUUUCCCUCCUCCAUGCUCAACUCUCCAUCCUCCCCCUCUCUCUUUUCCCUCCUCCAUGCUCAACUCUCCAUCCUCCCCCUCUCUCUUUUCUCUCCUCCCCCUCUCUCUUUUCCCUCCUCCAUGCUCAACUCUCCAUCCUCCCCCUCUCUCUUUUCCCUCCUCCAUGCUCAACUCUCCAUCCUCCCCCUCUCUCUUUUCCCUCCUCCCCCUCUCUCUUUUCCCUCCUCCAUGCUCAACUCUCCUUCCUCCCCCUCUCUCUUUUCCCUCCUCCAUGCUCAACUCUCCAUCCUCCCCCUCUCUCUUUUCCCUCCUCCAUGCUCAACUCUCCAUCCUCCCCCUCUCUCUUUUCCCUCCUCCCCCUCUCUCUUUUCCCUCCUCCCCCUCUCUCUUUUCCCUCCUCCAUGCUCAACUCUCCAUCCUCCCCCUCUCUCUUUUCCCUCCUCCCCCUCUCUCUUUUCCCUCCUCCAUGCUCAACUCUCCUUCCUCCCCCUCUCUCUUUUCCCUCCUCCAUGCUCAACUCUCCUUCCUCCCCCUCUCUCUUUUCCCUCCUCCAUGCUCAACUCUCCAUCCUCCCCCACUCUCUUUUCCCUCCUCCCCCUCUCUCUUUUCCCUCCUCCCCCUCUCUGUUUUCCCUCCUCCAUGCUCAACUCUCCAUCCUCCCCCUCUCUCUUUUCCCUCCUCCAUGCUCAACUCUCCAUCCUCCCCCUCUCUCUUUUCCCUCCUCCCCCUCUCUCUUUUCCCUCCUCCAUGCUCAACUCUCCAUCCUCCCCCUCUCUCUUUUCCCUCCUCCCCCUCUCUCUUUUCCCUCCUCCAUGCUCAACUCUCCAUCCUCCCCCUCUCUCUUUUCCCUCCUCCAUGCUCAACUCUCCUUCCUCCCCCUCUCUCUUUUCCCUCCUCCAUGCUCAACUCUCCAUCCUCCCCCUCUCUCUUUUCUCUCCUCCCCCUCUCUCUUUUCCCUCCUCCAUGCUCAACUCUCCAUCCUCCCCCUCUCUCUUUUCCCUCCUCCAUGCUCAACUCUCCAUCCUCCCCCUCUCUCUUUUCCCUCCUCCAUGCUCAACUCUCCAUCCUCCCCCUCUCUCUUUUCUCUCUUCCCCCUCUCUCUUUUCCCUCCUCCAUGCUCAACUCUCCUUCCUCCCCCUCUCUCUUUUCUCUCCUCCCCCUCUCUCUUUUCCCUCCUCCAUGCUCAACUCUCCAUCCUCCCCCUCUCUCUUUUCCCUCCUCCAUGCUCAACUCUCCAUCCUCCCCCUCUCUCUUUUCCCUCCUCCAUGCUCAACUCUCCAUCCUCCCCCUCUCUCUUUUCCAUCCUCCCCCUCUCUCUUUUCCCUCCUCCAUGCUCAACUCUCCAUCCUCCCCCUCUCUCUUUUCCAUCCUCCCCCUCUCUCUUUUCCCUCCUCCAUGCUCAACUCUCCAUCCUCCCCCUCUCUCUUUUCCCUCCUCCCCUCUCUCUUUUCCCUCCUCCAUGCUCAACUCUCCAUCCUCCCCCUCUCUCUUUUCCCUCCUCCCCCUCUCUCUUUUCCCUCCUCCAUGCUCAACUCUCCCUCCUCCCCCUCUCUCUUUUCCCUCCUCCAUGCUCAACUCUCCAUCCUCCCCCUCUCUCUUUUCCCUCCUCCCCCUCUCUCUUUUCCCUCCUCCAUGCUCAACUCUCCCUCCUCCCCCUCUCUCUUUUCCCUCCUCCAUGCUCAACUCUCCAUCCUCCCCCUCUCUCUUUUCCCUCCUCCCCCUCUCUCUUUUCCCUCCUCCAUGCUCAACUCUCCCUCCUCCCCCUCUCUCUUUUCCCUCCUCCAUGCUCAACUCUCCUUCCUCCCCCUCUCUCUUUUCCCUCCUCCAUGCUCAACUCUCCUUCCUCCCCCUCUCUCUUUUCCCUCCUCCAUGCUCAACUCUCCAUCCUCCCCCACUCCACUCCCCCCCCCUCCACUCUCCCUCCUCUCCCUCCUCUCCAUAUCCCCUCUCCACUCUCCCUCCUCCCCCACUCCACUCUCCCCCCCCCUCCACUCUCCCUCCUCUCCAUAUCCACUCUCCCCUCUCCCUCCUCCCCCUCUCCCCUCUUCUGGUUAGGGUAG